CUUUCGACCCAAGCCUUUGCAGGUAGACCUCUUCUUAGUGACUGAACCUCAGAAAACAAACAGAAAAUAGCCUCUUGGCAUACAACCUCAGUUGAAGAACCUACGGAAGACGAUGAAAAUUCUCCUCUCCUUGGGAACUCGGAGGACAUGUUUAAAGCUCAUCCAGAGUUGAAAUCAAACCAAAAAACUAUUAUGACUUCCAGUGGAAAAUCUGCCUGAAUCCAGAUGUACAGAAGCUGGAGAAAUUUGAACUUUUAUUAGAAGUUAAACAUGAGGGCUUUCAGCAUGGAUUGUGUACUAAAACCAAAUCAUUUAAAGUCAUAGCCUUACCAGUGCUUCAUAAAAUUCAUUGUUCCACAAAUGUUCCAAGACCAAAUGAACCGCUCACUCUUAGUUGCAAAAUUCAUUCUUAUUUUCCGGAAACGCUUGAAGUCUGUUGGAAUAACGAUGAUGGAAUUCUAGACAGUUCCUUUCAACUCCACACACAAAAGGUACUGAUGGGCUUUACUUUUGUAUCAGCAAGAUCCACUAUUGCCCACAAGUGGAAGAUUAUGGAAAGAGGCUUGUCUGCAGAGCUAAGCUUGAAGGAUCAAAGCAUACAAAGAAUCUGCAUGGCAGAUGAACACUAUGGAUUACAAAAUUGAAUGUAAGCCUCCUGUACCUGAGUGUGGGAAACCCAUCACAUUGAGUUGCUCAUUGACCAAAAUACCAUCCACCUGAGUGUGACAUUUAUUGGAAAAAGGCUUUGAAGAGCUCUUGGAUGCUACAAUUAAAACAGAGGAGCCGCAGUUGGACAGAAUAUCAAAGCUGUACUCCAGGACAAGUGAAAUAACCUUUACACCCAGCGCAGAAGACCAUGAAGUAAAAUUCUUGUUGAAAUAAACCUUGCAAGAAAAUUGUACGAAAGGGAUAUAAAGUCAUGCUGAAAGAUUUUCCCAAACUUUCAAAUAUUGUUAUUGAACCAAGUGAUGCAGAUUAUGGACAAAGUGUAACUUUAACUUGUGAUGUCACAGAUUUCAAUCCUAAAAAAAUUGGCACACAGUGGCUCCUGGGAGAUAAUUCACUAACAAACGGUGUGGUCACAGAGGAUUUAGACAUGCCCUGUUAUGGUUGUUACAAAUUAACUUCCGUGUUUGAACUAAGAGCUACUGCUUUAGUUUGUAAUAAGACUAUUCGUUUCAAGGUGAACCACGAAAAUUGACAAAGCCUGUUACAAGAGAAGUGUAUUUAAAACUUCCAGUCAACACCCUGUUUUGACUGAAAUAAAGGCAAGCCAAGAUCAUCAGAAUAUCCUCCUUGAAAUUUCUAUAUCACAAUUUGCUCCUCAUGAUAUACAAGUCAGAUGGUACCAAGGCUGUAGACAAAUACCUGAAAAUAUCAAUCCCAGGAAUAUUGAGAUUGGAAAAGAUCACUUAUGUUAUUUUGUUAGUAAAAUAUACUUAAAUCCAAAAGAACUGCGCUUUGGGAAGACAAUACGAUGUGAAGUUAAACAUUCAACAUCUACUGAGGAAAAAAGCUUAACACUGAACAAAACAGAUUUCUCUGAUCUUGAGGAAACCCAACAUCAUCACCAUGAGUCAUAACCAUUAUGAACUCCUUCAAAGUAAGCUCUCUGCAGAUGCAAUAACAGUUGGAAAAUAAUUAUGUUUUGCUAUUUUUCUCGCUACAAAGUAAUCCUUCAAAAAAUUCCUAUCUUGGCUCAACACACAGCUGAUAUCAAAGGUCUCUGAAAUCAACUCUAGCCAUUCCACUCACUGCUUUUGCUCAGGGAUGGCAGAUGUGAGUGUAUUGAAAGCCCAGGUGGCAUCUUUCCAGGAAAGGAAGAAACUACAAACGUCUACAAGACCAUGGUGAAGACUAUUCUAGCCAUCCUUUGGAUGAAAUUGUCUGAGUUAGAUUUCAGCUGUGCAAAAUUCUUGGACUGGGAUUAAUGGAGUUACAUGAGAAGAGUUUGAACCCGUUAAAUGCAGUGGCAGGUUUCCAUUUUUCUAACUACCGGUUUGCUCAUGCCCUCUCCUCCAGGUGGUGGGUGGAGCCUGAUUCGCAGAAACCCACCUCUGGUUAAAUCUAAGGAAGUGGAUAACGUCUUCAGUGCUGUGGGUGUAGCCAACUGUAUAUUACAUCACUGUUUACCUGGUUGGAUAAUGUCUUCCAGGAGGGGAUAUACAAACGAUCCAAGCAGAAUAAAUGCUUUAUUAUUGUAAAAAUAAUAGAACUUUUAAAGACGUGGUAUUCCAUCUCCCCUUCUGGAAAACUCUGGUUGCAGCAAUAUUGGACAAUCAUAGUUUUCGUUCUUUUUACUCUUAAUCCCAGUUUGAUGGGGUGUGGAUUGGGCAGCAUAACAUGACGUUUGUAUUCUGGUAAACUAGAGUUGUUUUAUUAAAAUUGUUCCUUUUAAGAUUUUUAUUUUUAAUUGGCUUUUUUGUAUAUAUGUACA